rnacentral:rRNA from 1 species
UACAGAGGGUGCAAGCGUUGUUCGGAAUUACUGGGCGUAAAGCGCGUGUAGGCUGCAAUGUAAGUCGAACGUGAAAGCCCUCAGCUUAACUGAGGAAGUGCGUUUGAUACUGCAUCGCUUGAGUGUCGGAGGGGAUGGCGGAAUUCCCGGUGUAGAGGUGAAAUUCGUAGAUAUUCGCAAGAACACCAGUGGCGAAGGCGCUCACUGGCCCGAUACUGACGCUGAGGCGCGAAAGCCAGGGGAGCAAACGGG